GUCCCAGGGGUAUGCGCAGGACUUGAGGAAGAAACAGGCAUGAUUGGCAGAAGCGCAUCAGCAGGAGCAGGUUCUUUUCUUAUAAAGUGCAGCUGGACCACCAGGCGGCUGCUCCUGCCAUUCAAGGAAAUGCAGCAUUUUUCCACAGUCUUCUCCAGCAUUGCCAGCGAGCGGAAGACGGACAGGAAGGACUGAGUGGGGGAAGACAUAUCAGCCCAGCACUGCGCCUCCACCAACCAGCUCUCACAUUCCAUGCAGGCCCCAGCCCAUCAUGUAACACUGAGAAAGGGGCUCCCAUGACAUACGGGACAUGUGCAUACUUCCCGGCCUUGUUCAUGCUGUUCCCUCUGCCUGAAAUGCCUUAAAAGACUGCUUACCUUUUUUGA